rnacentral:rRNA from 1 species
UACGUAGGGUGCAAGCGUUGUCCGGAUUUAUUGGGCGUAAAGAGCUCGUAGGCGGUUCGGUAAGUCGGGUGUGAAACCUCCAGGCUCAACCUGGAGUCGCCACUCGAUACUGCUGUGACUAGAGUCCGGUAGGGGAGCGUGGAAUUCCUGGUGUAGCGGUGGAAUGCGCAGAUAUCAGGAGGAACACCAUGGCGAAGGCAGAUCUCUGGGCCGUAACUGACGCUGAGGAGCGAAAGCAUGGGGAGCGAACAGG